UGGGGAAUAUUGCACAAUGGGCGCAAGCCUGAUGCAGCCAUGCCGCGUGUAUGAAGAAGGCCUUCGGGUUGUAAAGUACUUUCAGCGGGGAGGAAGGGAGUAAAGUUAAUACCUUUGCUCAUUGACGUUACCCGCAGAAGAAGCACCGGCUAACUCCGUGCCAGCAGCCGCGGUAAUACGGAGGGUGCAAGCGUUAAUCGGAAUUACUGGGCGUAAAGCGCACGCAGGCGGUCUGUCAAGUCGGAUGUGAAAUCCCCGGGCUCAACCUGGGAACUGCAUUCGAAACUGGCAGGCUAGAGUCUUGUAGAGGGGGGUAGAAUUCCAGGUGUAGCGGUGAAAUGCGUAGAGAUCUGGAGGAAUCCCGGUGGCGAAGGCGGCCCCCUGGACAAAGACUGACGCUCAGGUGCGAAAGCGUGGGGAGCAAACAGG
rnacentral:rRNA from 1 species